ACUACGAGCCAAGCUUAAAACCCAAAGGACUUGACGGUACCCCACAUCCUCCUAGAGGAGCCUGUUCUGUAAUCGAUAAUCCACGCUUAACCUCACCAUUUUUAGUUAAUCAGCCUGUAUACCUCCGUCGUCAGCUUACCACGUGAGCGUUAGUGAGCCAAAUGUAUUUCACCAAAACGUCAGGUCAAGGUGCAGUAAAUGGAAUGGAAAGAAAUGGGCUACACUUUCUACUUUAGAAAAAACAAAAAACUACCUAUGAAAUCUAGUUAGAAGGCGGAUUUAGUAGUAAAAGGGAAUCAGCAUGUCCAUUUUAACCCGGCA
rnacentral:rRNA from 1 species